rnacentral:rRNA from 1 species
AGCGUAGGCGGUUUGGUAAGUCAGGUGUGAAAUCCCGGGGCUCAACCCCGGAACUGCAUUUGAUACUGCCGGACUUGAGUAAUGGAGGGGUAGCUGGAAUUCUCGGUGUAGCAGUGAAAUGCGUGGAUAUCGAGAGGAACACUCGUGGCGAAGGCGAGCUACUGGACAUUUACUGACGCUGAGGCUCGAAGGCCAGGGUAGCGAAAG